rnacentral:rRNA from 1 species
AUGUCGGACCGGGAGCUCCCGCCGCCGCUGCGAUCCAUCCGAAUUACAGGGGACGGGAGGUGCCUGUUCCGGUCCGUCGCCUAUGGCGCCUGCAUAAGGAGAGGCAAGCAGUCGCCGAGCGACAGCGCCCAGAAGGAACUCGCCGACGAGCUUCGAGCAAAGGUUGCAGAUGAGUUCAUCAAGCGACGAGGAGAUACCGAAUGGUUCCUCGAAGGCAAUUUCGAGAGCUAUGUGCGGAAGAUGAGGAAGCCUCACGCCUGGGGAGGAGAACCUGAGCUGCUCAUGUGCUCACAUGUUCUUGGGAUGCCCAUCACCGUCCACAUGUACACCAAGGGCACCGAUAACCCCAGGAUCAUAGCAGAGUAUGGCCAGGAGUACGGCAAGGACAACCCGGUCCGUGUUCUAUACGACGGUUAUGGGCACUACGACGCGCUGCAGCCAUCUCUUGUAAGAACACAACCAAGACUGAGAGGAGCGUAG